UACGUAGGGGGCAAGCGUUGUUCGGAAUUACUGGGCGUAAAGGGCGCGUAGGCGGCGCGGUAAGUCGGGUGUGAAAUCUUGGAGCUUAACUCCGAAACUGCAUUCGAUACUGCCGUGCUUGAGGACUGGAGAGGAGACUGGAAUUUACGGUGUAGCGGUGAAAUGCGUAGAUAUCGUAAGGAAGACCAGUGGCGAAGGCGGGUCUCUGGACAGUUCCUGACGCUGAGCACGAAGGCCAGGGGAGCAAACGGG
rnacentral:rRNA from 1 species